UUUGCGGGAGAUCGUGCGAGAGCCACACCCAUUGGUCACCGCCCCGCACAAACCCUACCCUUUCUAGCGCUCCCAAAUCGAUGCAGCCGCCUCCCCUCUCCCUCCCUUCCUCCCCAAAUGCGCCGGCCGCCUCCUCUCCACCUGUCGCCUCCCCUCUCCCUCCCUUCCUCCCCAAACACGCUGGCCGCCUCCUCUCCUCCUGCCAUACCGCGUCCCUGCUGCCCCCAUGGCCUCUUCAGGAGGCACACCCCUCCAUGGUGCGAAGCAGCAGACCACGAUCUGGAUGAGGAAGAGGAGAUCCGGGCGCCCCAACGGUGGAUCGAUCGAUGCGAGGUGACGACGAGCUCCUUUGGACGUGGGGGAGCAGCGAGGCCGGAGAUCCAGUCGGCGCAUGCGGGUCCAAGCUGCAGCGCUCCGGUCCCCAAGCCGCCUCCAGGCUCGCUUCCUCCAUCCUCCCGCAUCGAUCGCACCCCUCCUCCCGCAUCUCACCCAUCUCGAUGGAUUGCAUGCGGACACAGAGGCGAGGUUCUCCGGCGGCGGCGGGAAACUCCAGGUAGAGAGCGACCCCAUGGAUCCGUCCCUGUAGGAGAGAAGGAAGGAGAGGAGACAGGCCAUGGAGAUGGGAUGAGUGCGCGACCCCAGGAUUUUGCGCUGUCAUCUUCUUUUGCCGGUCGGGGCCCUGGAAGAGCGACACCAGCCAGGCAUUGUAUGGGAUGGAUCUAUCAUGCUGGGAUUAGUUGUAAACUUCCUUGCUGAACCCUACAGGGAGCAAUGCAUCCCCAGUUUGCUUCCAGAGAAGGAAGGGGAAGAGGGUUUUAUUGUUGCUGCUAUUCCUCAUGGAUAUUCAAGAGGCAACUUGGCACCUAAUGUCAGCAACGUGCUUAUCGGUGACGAGGGAAAUGAAAGAAGGCUGUAAUGGAAUUUGUACUAGAAGUUUCUCCACGAUGGCACUUUCCACCUAGAAAGAGCAUCAAGGCCGGCGACCCCGUUUUUGUUAGGAUGGAAGAUAAAUUAUUGUUAAUUGUUUUUGAUUUCCUUUAUUCCGUAAAUGGCAAUACAAGAUAUGUUUGGGCCACAUGAUUCUAUUCCAAAAAUUUAAACAACUUAGCAAUUAACGGUGCAUCUGUUAUGUAUUUGUUUAUAAUGAGCUCGACUAUUUUGCAACAUAUACUGCAUUUCCAGGGGUAACCCUUUUGCUUAUUUAUUUUUUCGCUAUGCUCUCUGAAGAUCAGAUUUUGGCCAUAUAGUUUCCAGUGUCUGGAAGUCUAAAACUGAGGAUAGGGCAGAUUGUUUUGAUUCCAAUUACUUGGAGAUCUUGUGGCUUGCUGUCCCUGGAUCAGUCAGACCUACGGCAGCAUCAACUCGUUGAUCCUAGAGGCCAUGGUUCUCGAGGUGAGUUGAGUUGCUGCUUGGUUGGAGAUGUUGAUGUCGUUCGAGACGCCCGCUGGAUUCACCCUUCUCAAGGUUCUGAAUAAGGGAAAGCUCGACAAGGACGAGUGGUACAGGUAUGAUCUUCAUGGAGCUAGCCAUCAUUGGAUUUGGUAAUACAUAAUCACUUGUUCAGAGAGCCCAAGGUGAGAAGGGACGAGCAUCUAGAACACCACCACCUACUAAUCAGUGAGCUACUAUCUAUCUUUGAAUGAGUUACUUAACAAGAGAAGGCAGGUAGCAAUAGCACACCUGCAAUCUCAAUGUUUACUAAUUAUCUAUUUCUAAAUUUAUUCGUUCCAGCUGCUCUAAAUCUGGGUGUUUUGCUUGCUGCUUUGUAGGAGUUUCCUACCUUUCUUCUGCAAAUCUGGAAUGCCUUUAUGGCAUGAUCAUGUGAAAAAGUACCUUGAUGCAGUAAUGGAUUUGAUUAACACUGGUUACUCUGUUUUCACGAAUUACUAUCCAACUGCAAGUCUGUUCUAUACCCUAAGGCCCAUGUAAAUCUGAUAGAAGAUUAAGCUAUUUAAUUUUAAUUAAAAAGGAUAAUAUUCUUUCAGUUGCUUGAAUCUGUCCAGACCUGAAAAAUACUUAUACUUUGAAAGCUUGAUAUAUGAGUAUGUAAUUUUACAGGUAUGUAAAUAGCCGACAAUGUUAUUGUUCAAAUGUACUCGAGCCAGGUUUUCGGUGUUUCAUUGCAACCAAAAGAAUUAGUAAUAUUUUUUUGAUGAAAACAUGGUAACACUUGUCGGUGUUGUAUAAUAGGAUUUUUAAUUAGUGGCAUAGGAAUUUUUUCCCUAAGAUCCACUAUGAAGUUGAUUGAAAGUCCAUUUUCCCUAAGAUCCACUAUGACAACGAAAAAGAUUUCUGAAAACUGUGUUACCAUAAAUGUCCAUCAUUGUCCAUAGCAGUCCCAAGCGGAAAAAAAAUCCUACAUGACCGAGUUGUAUGGACCCGAUCGUGAGACCCACUCCAGCGCUCGCCAACUGUCCGUCCGAAUCUUAAUGCAACAGGCGUCUCCUUCCCCGCUUCCCUGUUUCACUCCUUAUCUCCUCCAACACACCCAAAAUCCAGUCGCUGGUCAUGCCAUUCUUGCCACCGCUUGACGGCACGGCGCGCCCGCACCACUUUCCCCUGGGAGCCUUGCCGCCAAUGGUGCCGGGCGCGGUGGUCGCCCCCGCCUCAUCCCCCUUCCCUGUUUGCAAAUCUAGAUUGAAACUCAAACCAUUUAUUCUGCUAGAUAUGCUUGUACUGAAAUUAUUAUCUUAUACAUUGACAGAGGAUGGAAGAACCAAAAGGUAGUUGAUCAGCAGGAUGGCAAGAGGAAGACAAGAGCCAAAUUAAAGUUUGUUUCUGUGCAUGUCUGUAUCUAUCAAGAUUCAGUGCUAUGUAGAAAUGUCCCUGAGAUUUGUUUCCCUCAACGAGACCAAACAAUCAGGAACACAAGUAGGAUAGUUGAUGCUUUUUUCAUUUUUCUUCUGAUAAAAAGGAAUCUUCAUCUGCCAAGAAUACGGCCUACAAGCAUGUAUGCCUAAUUACCUAUAUGUUGAUUUAACGAACUCACAUACAUGUCCAUUUCUGAAAAUAGUUUACCCAUCCUCAAACAUAUAACUUGUGUGUUGUUGCUUUCCAUUAUAUUGAGAAAAACAUAAGUUCCAUUGGACCUUUUA